rnacentral:lncRNA from 1 species
CGAUGAUGUCAAGUUGUCAGUUAGUCGAAAAACCUCCUCCUGAAGUUUGACUUUCCGCUUUGUCGCCAACUUAAGUUAUUCAAGUGCAGCUGAUUUCUUAGCAUCGCGGCUACCAUCUUAUUCUUCCACGCACUAUGGAUGUCGGCGAAUUUCAUGUAGCCGACCUCCAGGUCAAACAUGUCGUGGAUCAACUACAGACAGAGGAUAAGUCGGUUAAAAAAAAAGAAAAUUUACCAAAAAGACUUACCCCGAUGAUUGUCGGAUAAAAGGACAAAAAUAUUUCGACCACUGACUGUUUCCUCUAGCACUCUCGAUCAACCGAAAGAAGAGUCACAUGGCACAGUCGCUUGGCUAGUAUAGAAUUAGCCAGGGCCGAUUCAUCGACGGACACUUGGAGGUCAAAGUGCACCGCAUGGCCCUCCGAUGUUGCAUCAUCCGCCGACGUCAUCGGAGCUUUCCCCCGAUCU